rnacentral:rRNA from 1 species
CGGGACAUGACGGGCAAGCUUUAACACAUGCAAGUCGUGGGGCAGCGCGAGGUAGCAAUACUUUGGCGGCGACCGGCAAACGGGUGCGGAACACGUACGCAACCUUCCUCAGAGCGGGGAAUAGCCUCUCGAAAGAGAGAUUAAUACCCCAUAGUAUCUCGAAACUGCAUGGUUUUGAGAUUAAAGCUUCGGCACUUUGAGAUGGGCGUGCGGCUGAUUAGGUAGUUGGUAGGGUAACGGCCUACCAAGCCAACGAUCAGUAGCUGAUGUGAGAGCAUGAUCAGCCACACGGGCACUGAGACACGGGCCCGACUCCUACGGGAGGCAGCAGUGAGGAAUAUUGGUCAAUGGAGGAAACUCUGAACCAGCCAUGCCGCGUGAAGGAUGAAGGUCCUCUGGAUUGUAAACUUCUUUUAUAGAAGAAGAAACCCCAUUAUUCUUAAUGGGUUGACGGUACUCUAUGAAUAAGCACCGGCUAACUCCGUGCCAGCAGCCGCGGUAAUACGGAGGGUGCAAGCGUUAUCCGGAUUCACUGGGUUUAAAGGGUGCGUAGGUGGGCUUGUAAGUCAGUGGUGAAAUCUCCGAGCUUAACUUGGAAACUGCCAUUGAUACUAUUAGUCUUGAAUUCUGUGGAGGUAAGCGGAAUAUAUUCUUGUAUUCGGUGAAUUGCUUUAUACAUGAUGUAGAACACCGAUAGCCAAAGGCAGCUUACUACGCAAACAUUGACACUGAGGCACGAAAGCGUGGGGAAUCAAAACAC